UAGAGCACGAGCCGGAAAUGGAAAAGCCGGUACAAGCGUAUAGCAGUCAUGCAGGCAAAACCGCAUGAAAAAUGUAAAGCGUUAUGUGGAUCGAACAUUAGUAGAGAAGCGUGUGAGCCAGCUGCCAAGAAAAGCCGCUAUUGUUUCAUAAGUACCCGUACCGUAAACCGACACAGGUGGAUGAGGAGAGAAUCCUAAGGCCGGCGGGAGAAGUGUUGUUAAGGAACUCGGCAAAAUGACUCCGUAACUUCGGGAGAAGGAGUGCCACAGAGAUGUGGCCGCAGAGAAAUGGCCCAAGCAACUGUUUAGCAAAAACACAGGUCUAUGCAAAACCGAAAGGUGAGGUAUAUGGGCUGACGCCUGCCCGGUGCUGGAAGGUUAAGAGGAGAGGUUAGAGCAAUCGAAGCUUUGAAUUUAAGCCCCAGUAAACGGCGGCCGUAACUAUAACGGUCCUAAGGUAGCGAAAUUCCUUGUCGGGUAAGUUCCGACCCGCACGAAAGGCGUAAUGAUUUGGGCACUGUCUCAACAACACACCCGGUGAAAUUGAAAUACCAGUGAAGAUGCUGGUUACCUGCGCCAGGACGGAAAGACCCCAUGGAGCUUUACUCCAGUUUGAUACUGGGAUUCGGUACUGUCUGUACAGGAUAGGUGGGAGGCUAGGAAAUGGUGACGCCAGUUGCCAUGGAGCCAACCUUGGGAUACCACCCUUACAGUACUGGGUUUCUAACCUGCAGCCGUAACCCGGCUGGGGGACAAUGUCUGACGGGGAGUUUGACUGGGGCGGUCGCCUCCGAAAGAGUAUCGGAGGCGCUCAAAGGUUCCCUCAGAACGGUUGGAAACCGUUCGAAGAGUGCAAAGGCAGAAGGGAGCUUGACUGCGCCACCGACGGGUGGAGCAGAUACGAGAGUAGGACUUAGUGAUCCGGUGGUAUAAAGUGGGAUUGCCAUCGCUCAACGGAUAAAAGCUACCCUGGGAUAACAGGCUUAUCACUCCCAAGAGUUCACAUCGACGGAGUGGUUUGGCACCUCGAUGUCGGCUCAUCGCAUCCUGGAGCUGUAGCAGGUUCCAAGGGUUGGGCUGUUCGCCCAUUAAAGCGGUACGCGAGCUGGGUUCAGAACGUCGUGAGACAGUUCGGUCCCUAUCCGGCGUGGGCGUAGGAUAUUUGAGAGGAGCUGUCCUUAGUACGAGAGGACCGGGAUGGACAAACCUCUGGUGUAUCUGUUGUUUUACCAAAGGCAUGGCAGAGUAGCCAAGUUUGGCAGGGAUAAACGCUGAAGGCAUCUAAGCGUGAAGCCCCCCUCAAGAUAAGAUAUCCCAUCUUCGGAGUAAGACCCCUUGAAGACUACAAGGUUGAUAGGCUUCAGGUGUAAGUGUGGUAACGCACUCAGCUGAGAAGUACUAAUAGGUCGAGGACU
rnacentral:rRNA from 1 species